AGCCCUGUUUGAGAGCUUGCUGAGGUUCCACACGUUAGUGCUAUCCCCACCUUCAUACCUCAAGCCCUGUUUUUGCUGUUCGUGAGAAUAGCUUCACUGUCUCAUGUGAAUUCAGAUAAUUUUGACAUUAACCAGUAAUUCUUCAGGAGGCCAACAAACAUGACUCCCAUAGCCUAUGGGGGCUGAAGCCAAACAUGUAUGUGAAAUAGUACAGUGACCUAGUUCCUUAGUCCAAGUGAGUGGACCAGCAUCUGAACAUGCACACAAAGUAAAAACAUGGAUUGUACAGAGAAGCCUCAAUCCUGGACAAGCUGCCUUACUUACUGUUGGGCUCCGGUUAUGGGCUGUGCCUGCAGCUGGACAAGUCCAACUGAGGCAACAUGACAUAGAGACUGACCCAGAGACCCUAAAGGAGCACAGGGAAGAGGAGGCAGUAUCUGAUACAUCGGGGAGGCUGUUGGUUCAGGCAGGGACUGGAUUUAGGGAGAAGAAAAAGAUCGGAGCUCACGGGAGCUGAAGAGCAAACAAGAGGGGAUCCUGUGCCCUCAUGAGAUCUGCCCAGGCUGACAGGGAACAUUUAAUACCUGAUCCAAUGAUGAUUUUGACAUGGAUGCUGCGACCAAGGUGGAUGUCUGCUGAAACUUUGGGAGGAGAACAGAAAGAGGGCAGCUGGAAUAACCCACAACUGGGACGAUGGAGUUCAAGCCUAAAUUUGUGGCAGAUUACUUGGCAGAUCAGAAGAAAUACUUCACCUGCUGUCUGCAAUGUACAUUUUUCACAUAGAUCUUACAUCAGGGAUAAAGCUCGCCCUUGCCCCAGAAAUGAACAUUGCCCUUUCUGUGCCCCUCAGUAUUUUUUGCUGAUGCCUGAGUGAUAAUCUUUGUCCAUAAAAUUUUAAAGAAUCCUACUCUUUUUUUUUCACAAUCUCAAAAAAUAGCUACAUUGAGGUUUGGGUAAUAUG